rnacentral:misc_RNA from 1 species
CAAAAAGAUUGGUAUGCCUCGCGCAUGUCCGCUCUUUAAACCCACACCUGAGUACCUUUCCUGUUGCUUCCGCGGAGCGGGCCACGUCCCGCCGGUAGGGGUGAAACAUCCCCUGUCGGAGAGCCUCCGCGGGAGGUACACAUCAAACCCUUUUGCAUUGCCAUGUCGUCUGUCUGAUACUGUUUAUAACAAAUGUUA